CCUACGGGUGGCAGCAGUGGGGAAUAUUGGACAAUGGGGGGAACCCUGAUCCAGCCAUGCCGCGUGUGUGAAGAAGGCUCUCGGGUUGUAAAGCACUUUCAGUGAGGAAGAACGCCUGGUGGUUAAUACCCAUCAGGAAAGACAUCACUCACAGAAGAAGCACCGGCUAACUCCGUGCCAGCAGCCGCGGUAAUACGGAGGGUGCGAGCGUUAAUCGGAAUUACUGGGCGUAAAGCGCGCGUAGGUGGCUUGAUAAGCCGGUUGUGAAAGCCCCGGGCUCAACCUGGGAACGGCAUCCGGAACUGUCAAGCUAGAGUGCAGGAGAGGAAGGUAGAAUUCCCGGUGUAGCGGUGAAAUGCGUAGAGAUCGGGAGGAAUACCAGUGGCGAAGGCGGCCUUCUGGACUGACACUGACACUGAGGUGCGAAAGCGUGGGUAGCAAACAGGAUUAGAUACCCUGGUAGUC
rnacentral:rRNA from 1 species